rnacentral:lncRNA from 1 species
GAACUACACAUUUUAUCAACAGAAAACCAAAAGCGUUCACAAAGAUCCGUACCCCCUACAGAUCCGGAUUGAAGUUUGUUUCACAACAUCUCAGUCAGAAGAAGAUGACGACUCCUCGGCGGCGAGUUUUUCAAGGGCUUUUUGAUGUGCCCAAGUCUCGAUAGUGAGAUCGGGCUUGGCGUUGAGACCGACACCUAGGAUAACGAUGGUGAGGAAGCUCGUGACGUAGCAAGGCAACUCCCAAUCUUCCCAUUUACGGGAUUGACCUGGUGGUGGUGGUGUCCUAUUGAAGAGGUAACCAUUGGGCCGUUCUUGGUGACCCGGCGUCGUCCACCGGCUUGGACCGUCGUGGGAGGAGAAGGACCGGAAGAAAAGUCGACGGCGGAGCAUGUUGGUCAAAGCCAUCGUGGAGGCCUAGCCUUGAAAGAUCAAGGAUAAAGUUGGGGGACUCGUUUUAGGGAUUUUAUUUGGUUAGUUAUUUACUUAGCUUCCUGAUAGUGAGAAAUGCUCUCUACACGACAUCGUUUAGAGUUUGGCCUAAGCCAAAAUAAAAAUGUAAAUGCUCCAUUUAUUAUUAAAUGAAUGAAUUAAAUUUAUGUAAUAUUCAAAAUAUGAAAAAAAUCAAAAUUCAACAGAUUUACAUAGCUAUAUUUUUUAAAAAUUUUAUUAUCCUGAAAUAUUUUGAUUUAUAUAAUAAAUAAUAUUUUUCAUGUCACUUUUAAAAUAAUAAAUGUUAACUAUAUUUAAGUGAUUAUUUUUAAUAGUAUCGAUGAAAUUAAUCCAUUUAAUAAUAAAUGGUAUACCCACUCAAAGGUAAAAAAGAAUGUAAAUGUAAAGAAUUUACAUGAUCAAAUGCUUCAAACUUCUUCACUUGUUGACAAUAUAAGAAGGAUGUUGAGUACGAUUUUGCAACUAAUUGAGCUAGGUCACGCCUUAUGAAUCGGGAUUUUACUUUGCUAUAUAUUCGAAAGUAUUGAGCUCCAAUAUCUUUGCUUCAUAGUUUAGCUUCUUCUUUUUCUGUCUUCCAUAACAAAAUCAUUUAUUCUUUUUUAAAUUCAUAAUCUUUUAAGAAAGCAUCGCAAACACUGCCAAAACUUCAUGUGCAGAUUGGCACUCAAACAGUAUAUAGAUCUAGUUUGGGUUAUUGAUACUAUCGAAUUGGAUCGGCCGAGGGAGUAUAGCACGGUCCUUAGCACCAUGGUGUUAGAGCAUAACCUAACUGAUAGAAUCACUUAAACUGAAAACCAAUAUGUUUGGUCCGAUAGCUAUCCUCAAACCAACAAAGGGAUGGGGUAACAAGGAAGAAAGUAGGUGGUAGUGCGGAAUGAGGAGAUGAUCGUUUUCAUUUCAUUGAUUGAACCUAUAUCCGAACAAGAAUACAAGGAUGGAAAAUCCUCUGCAACGUAUUCCCCUACUCCUAAAUUCUCAAUCACAAUUCUAUCAAGUAAAGUAGUCUUUUCCUCCGUACCAUACAUGUCAAACACAAGUAUGUUCAAAAUUCUCUGAGAUUUCCAUUUAUUUAAAGGAUCAUAUUCUUAUUCCCAUGCCACAUAUAGGAUGGAUACGAGUACUCCAAAAACCGAAGAAUCGAAGCUAUCACAAUCCUAUCGGUCAAUAAUCCUUCAUUAUACUAACUACUAAAUGCUCAACACUAAUGUAUGGCCCUUCACAUAUAACAAUAACAUAAAUCAUUCCUUUUUUUUUUCUCCUUUGUACCAUAAGCUUCAUUGAUAAAAACCAAGUAGAAUACAACUUACAUAUUGCCUCAAUAAACUAAAUAGUAAUAAUACCUAAAAAGAGAUCCCAUCCCAACAGCCGUAAGGGGUCAACUGAUAACCCGUCUUUCCCUAAUACUGUCCUUGCGUAACUUCUAACAUUCGGAACCUUUACGGAUAUGCCAUAUUCAUUUACUCCAUAAUACUACCUCUAGUCAAAUGUGGGUUCUUAAUUUACUAAAGAACUGAUAUUUUCUUCAAACCUAUUGAAAGGACCAACAAGUUAAGCACUAGAGUGAACUAGCUAGAGAACAGUUUUUCUAAGAUAUUCCAUGUCUGUAAUGAUAGCAUUAGGGCAUAAGCAUAUCAAUAAACCCAAUUUAUUCCCAAAUUCUUCUGAACAUCCAUUGAAACUCAAUAAGUAAAUAUUAGAUUAUGCAUAAAAACAAGCUAAUGACUUCAUCAUAGUCAUCGAAAGCAUAAAUCAAAUUAAAAAACCCAUAAUAUUUCAACAACUACAAACCCUUUGAACAACACAUUUAUCAACAGAAAAUACAACCUACCAAAAGGACCAGCAAGUUAAGCACAAAACUAACUACAACACAAUUCUUCUAAGAUAUUCCAUAUUUAUAGGGAUAGCUUUAGGGCACUAGCAUAUCAACGUAUUGCAAAUAAACCCAACUUAUUUUCAAAUUCUUCUGAACAUCAAUCGAAACUUGAUAAGUAAAUAUCAGAUUAUGAACAGAAACAAGCUAAUGAAUUCAUUAUCGUCAUUGAAAGCAUAAAUCCAAUUAAAAACACAUAAAAUUUCAACAACUACAAGCCCUUUGAACAAUACAUUUAUCAACAGAAAAUAGAACCUACCGAAAGGACCAGCAAGUUAAACACUAAAUUAACUACAGACAAUUCUUCUAAGAUAUUCCAUUUUUGUAAGGAUAGCAUUAAGGCACUAGCAUAUCAAUACAUUGCAAAUAAACCCAACUUAUUUUCAAAUUCUUCUGAACAUUAGAUUAUGAUCAGAAACAAGCCAAUGAUUUCUUCAUCAUCGAAUGCGUAACUCCAACUAAAAAAAGCCAUAAAAAUUUAACUACAGAUCCUUCACCCGUUACAAAAAAAAAAAAUACCCCAAUUUUUGUUUAAACAGCACAUUUUAUAAACAGCAAAGAACUGAGAUUUUCUUAGAAACUAUCCAAAAGGACCAGAAAGUUAAGCCCUAAACUAACUACUGUACCAUUUUUCUAUGAAAUUCCAUAUUUAUAAGGAUAAUUUUAGGGCAAUGGCAUAUCAAUACAGGAUCAAUAAACCUAAUUUAUUUUCAAAAUCUUUUGAACAUCCAUUGAAACUCGAUAAGUAAAUAUUAGACAACGAUCCCAAUAAGCCAACGACUUCAUCAUCAUCAUCGAAAACGUAAAAUUAAAAACCCAUAAAAUUUCAACAACUACAAGCGUUAAAAAAAAAAAAAGAACCCGUCUUUUUAUUCGAACUACACAUUGAAAUCAAAAGCGUUCGCAAAGAUCCGUACCCCAGAUCCCUUUGCUUCAAAACAUCUCAGUCAGAAGAAGAUGACGGCGACUCGGCGGCGAGUUUUUCAAGGGCUUUUUGAUGUGCCCAAGUCUCGAUAGUGAGAUCGGGCUUGGCGUUGAGACCAACACCGAGGAUGACGAUGGUGAGGAAGCUCGUGACGUAGCAAGGCAACUCCCAAUCUUCCCAUUUACGGGAUUGGCCUGGAGGUGGUGGGGUCCUGUUGAAGAGGUAACCAUUGGGUCGUUCCUGGUGACCGGGCGUCGUCCACCGGCUUGGACCUUCAUGGGAGGAGAAAGCCCGGGAGAAGAGUCGGCGGCGGAGCAUGGUGGUCAAGGCCAUCGUGGUAGUGGUGGUGGUG